UACGAAGGGGGCUAGCGUUGCUCGGAAUUACUGGGCGUAAAGGGCGCGUAGGCGGAUAGUUUAGUCAGAGGUGAAAGCCCAGGGCUCAACCUUGGAAUUGCCUUUGAUACUGGCUAUCUUGAGUUCGGGAGAGGUGAGUGGAAUGCCGAGUGUAGCGGUGAAAUGCGUAGAGAUUAGGAAGAACACCAGUGGCGAAGGCGACUUACUGGACCGUAACUGACGCUGAGGCAUGAAAGCGUGGGGAGCAAACAGG
rnacentral:rRNA from 1 species